rnacentral:misc_RNA from 1 species
GAUAAGAACGUAGCGAAAUGCGAUAAGUAAUGUGAAUUGCAGAAUUCAGUGAAUCAUCGAAUCUUUGAACGCACCUUGCGCCCUUUGGCCAUUCCGAAGGGCAUGCCUGUUUGAGUAUCAUGAACACCUCAACUCUCAUGGCUCGCCAUGAUGAGCUUGGAUUUGGGGGUCUUGCUGGCCUGUGGUCGGCUCCUCUCAAAUGGAUCAGCUUGCCAGUGUUUGGUGGCAUCACAGGUGUGAUAACUAUCUGCGCUUGUGGUUUUCCAUCAGAUAACCUUCAGUGAUGGAGGUUCGCUGGAGCUCAUAAACGUCUCCCCUAAGCGGGGACAGCCCUUUGAAUGUUUGAUCUCAAAUCAGGUAGGACUACCCGCUGAACUUAAGCAUAUCAAUAAGCGGAGGA